rnacentral:rRNA from 1 species
CCAGACUCCUACGGGAGGCAGCAGUGGGGGAUAUUGCACAAUGGGGGAAACCCUGAUGCAGCGACGCCGCGUGGGUGAAGAAGCGCCUCGGCGCGUAAAGCCCUGUCAGCAGGGAAGAAAAUGACGGUACCCAAAGAGGAAGCUCCGGCUAACUACGUGCCAGCAGCCGCGGUAAUACGUAGGGAGCGAGCGUUGUCCGGAAUUACUGGGUGUAAAGGGAGCGUAGGCGGGCGAGAAAGUUGAAUGUUAAAUCUACCGGCUUAACUGGUAGCUGCGUUCAAAACUUCUUGUCUUGAGUGAAGUAGAGGCAGGCGGAAUUCCUAGGGUAGCGGUGAAAUGCGUAGAUAUUAGGAGGAACACCAGUGGCGGAGGCGGCCUGCUGGGCUUUAACUGACGCUGAGGCUCGAAAGCGUGGGGAGCAAACAGGAUUAGAUACCCCCGUAG